rnacentral:tRNA from 1 species
UCCGGAAUGGUGUAAUGGUCAACAUUUGUCGCUCUCAUCAACACAGGUGAAGGCGCCGACAGGCUCGGGGUUCAAUUCCCCGUUCCGGAA